AUUGAACGCUGGCGGCAGGCCUAACACAUGCAAGUCGAACGAGUGGCGGACGGGUGAGUAAUGUCUGGGAAACUGCCCGAUAGAGGGGGAUAACUACUGGAAACGGUAGCUAAUACCGCAUACCAUCAGAUGUACCCAUAUGGGAUUAGCUGGUUGGUGGGGUAAGGGCUCACCUAGGCGACGAUCCCUAGCUGGUCUGAGAGGAUGACCAGCCACACUGGAACUGAGACACGGCCCAGACUCCUACGGGAGGCAGCAGUGGGGAAUAUUGACAAAUGGGCGCAAGCCUGAUGCAGCCAGGCCGCGUGUAGGAAGAAGGCCUGCGGGUUGUAAAGUACUUUCAGCGGGGAGGCGUUACCCGCAGAAGAAGCACCGGCUAACUCCGUGCCAGCAGCCGCGGUAAUAC
rnacentral:rRNA from 1 species